CUUCAAGAAGCAUGGAAAUACGCUCUUAAUAUUUGCCUCUAAACAUACAUAUGCCUAGAAAGAUAAUCAAAGGUGCCACAAUGGCCUAGUACCACCCAAACAGAUUAUAUGAAUGGAGAAAUUUGGAAAAAUACUCACAAGUGUAAUGCACCCACUGGUGCUAAUGAGGCGGGCUGAAACUUUGCAGUAGUCCAGCUCACUGUUACCAACCAACUGUCAUAUAAGGUCUGGAACACUUGAGAAGAACAGUUAACCAGAGCACAGAGAUCUCGCUACCCCGA